GGCGGUUCUCGGGUGAUGCACCCCAGAAUCGGGCUCCCUCCUCUCUGGUUCUGGGUGCGUGACCCAAGAAUCGAA
rfam:Myotis brandtii contig208365, whole genome shotgun sequence.